CUCUUCCGGCCAUCUGCACUCAGGCAAACUGAUCACCUUCUUGUCCAACAGGUCAUCCAACAUGGCAACCACAUCAGAGUCAGGGAAUGGAUAAGUCUUCUCUUUAAGCUCCUUCAAAGUGCGUCUACGCAUCUCUUGAUCACGAAAAGCUUCGGUUUGAAUCGUUUUGCCUCGUGUGGAGAUUUUGACGGGAGAUGUGUUGACUGUCAUUGCUUCCUUGGUGGAUUUCCACGUAGCCUUCUCCACCUUUGUCUCAAGAAUUUUGUCGUUCUUGUAGUCGGCGAUCGGUUCCUUCUUCCCAUGAUGGGUGAUGCUCAACUCCAUGUCAUGGGCGUGGGUGGCCAAUUCCUCGAAGGUCCGUGGUUUAAUGCCUUGAAGGAUGUAUUGCAAACCUCAUUGCAUGCCUUGGAUGCACAUCUCGAUUGAAGAGGUCUCCGAGAGCCUAUCUUUGCAGUCGAGGCUUAGAGUGCGCCAUCUGUUGAUGUAGUCAAUGACCGGCUCAUCUUUCCAUUGCUUCAUACUUGUGAGCUCCAACAUGCUUACAGUGCGGCGGGUGUUGUAGAAGCGGUUGAGGAAUUCCCGCUCCAAUUGCUCCCAGCUGUUGAUGGACUCAGGCUCUAGGUCCGUGUACCACUCAAAUGCGUUUCUUUUCAGCGAGCGCAUAAACUGCUUGGCGAAGUAGUCCCCCUCCGUCCCCGCGUUGUUGCAAGUUUUGACGAAAUGUGCAACGUGCUGCUUUGGGUUUCCUUUUCCAUCAAACUGCAUGAACUUUGGUGGUUGAUAUCCCAUCGGCAUCUUUAGGGCAUCAAUCUUCUUUGAAUAAGGCUUUGAGUACAACCCGGAGGUAUUUGAGCUCCCUUCGUACUAUGCCUUGACGGUGCUGGCAAUCAUCUCUUGCAACUGUUGGAUAGAAAGAGAUCCCAUGAGUGCCGCUUCUUGGUCUGGCUCCGGCUUCACAUCGAUUUUCUCCACCGUAGGCUCAUCUUCUGGGUUAGGGUUCUCGCUGUCCUGUGGCUCCAGUUGACUGAUGAGUGCAGCGAUUUGCAAGUCUUUUUCUUCCACAGUUCGGGUUAGCCUUGCGAUUGCUUCAUUCAUUUGAGCCAGUUGUUCUUCGAUGGAGGUAACGCCGAUGGUCAUGACUUGUGCAACCAAUAGACGUGACUUUCCUUUAGACAUCCAAGAUGCUGAAGAAGAACGUCAUUGGUUGUUUUGGGAUGUCAUCUUGUGUGCCUCAGCAACAUGCUUUGGUGCCCCCAGCGAGGUCAGGUUGAUGACAGACUCACACCUUUGAUGCUCCCUUUGCUCUUUUAGCGGCACCAACUUUGAAGUGGCAUGUUAAGGAGCGGUUGUGGUGCUAAUGGAUUGUCCAUUUGCGGCAGAAGUGCUUAGGAUCCUUCCCUCAGUGAUUGCGAGAACGGCUUGUCCCUUGCUUGAUGCCAUUGAUUUUGAGGUGUGUUUGGAUUCCUUAAACGGAGAAAGAUAUGAGAGGUAGAGAUUGUCCCACCGGGCGUGCCAAUUUGUGAACACGAAAAUUUCCUGAAACGAAAGAGACAAGAACAACGUGCACAAAAUAAUAUUUUGGUGUUAAUGGAUUUGUUGGGUUACGAUCUCUUUUAACUUGAUCCUCUGAUUCGAUCUCCGUAAGGUGUUGAUUUAUGGAUGUUUCGUUGAUCUAAGGGCCGUCGAGGCUUGAUCUUGGAUGAACUGUUGGAAGUUUCUUCAAGGGGCCGUGGGCUUGAUCUUUGAAGGUGGAUUUGAGCGGAUCUUCAAGGAGCCGUUGGGGCUUGAUCUUGAGGAUGAGUGUUUCUUCAAGGGCCGUUAAGGCUUGAUCUUGAAUAACGGUGAUGAACGGAUCUUCAAGGGCUUUUGGGCUUGAUCUUGAAGAACGGUUGGAUGUGUGGAUUUGUUGAUGUUGUUGAUCCAAGGGCCGUCGGGGCUUGAUCUUGGAAGAACGAUGAACGAAGAACGAAGAACACUUUCUUCAAAGGCCGUCGGGGCUUGAUCUUGAAUUGGUGAUUGUUGAUCCAAGGGCCGUCGGGGCUUGAUCUUGGAAGAACGGUGAACGAAGAAUGAAGAACGAAGAACACUUUCUUCAAGGGCCGUCGGGGCUUGAUCUUGAAUUGGUGAUUGUUAAUCAAAGGGCCGUCGGGGCUUGAUCUUGGAAGAACGAUGAACGAAGAACGAAGAAGGCUUUCUUGAUUCUUCGGGAUGAACGGAUGAUGAACAAUGAACACUUUCUUCAAGGGCCAUCGGGGCUUGAUCUUGAAUUGGUGGAAGUUCUUCAGGGCCUUUGGGGCUUGAUCUUGAAGGUGGAUGAUUGUUGAUCCAAGGGCCGUCGGGGCUUGAUCUUGGGAUGAACAGUUGUGUGGAUUUGUUGAACACUUUCUUCAAGGGCCGUCGAUGCUUGAUCUUGAAUUGGUGGAAGUUCGUCAAGGGCCGUUGGGGCUUGAUCUUGAAGAAGGAUUUGACGAAGAACGAAGAGAGCUUUCUUGAUCCUUCGGAAUUUGCUUGAAUUUGGGAGGUUGGAUGCUUGAAAGCUUUAGAGUUUCAAAGCUUCAAGGAUUUUGGAUGUGUGGGGAGUAUUCUCUUACAUUUUGGGAGUAGAGAAAUGUAUUUGUGAAUUGGUUUUUGAUACCUUGAUGUAGAAGCCUAUUUAUAGGCUUUGAGAAUGAAUCACCACCACAAAAUAUUUUUUUCUUUUCCAAGCACCAUUGCCUAAUUUCCCACUUAAUACAAUUUUAAACUUGAAGUGGUAAUUUUAUGGCCUAAUUUUCCACUUAAUAUCAUUUUAAACUUGAUAUGUGCAUGCUUUGUCAUUGCCCAAAAUGAGAAGAAAACCUUGUUUUGAUCUUCAAUGGAUUGAAAUGUGCUUUGCCUUGUCAUUGCCCAAAAUGAGAAGAAAAACUUGUGUAAUCCUCCAAGGGUAUUUCUUUUUAUUUUGUUGAGUCACACACCAUGUGUACAAUUUGUAUGACACGUGGCAUAUGCCAUAUAUGCCUUGACACGUCAAAAUUUUAAUGCGUUGGUGAACAUUUAUUUCACCGCAAUUUCGAUGUCUACAAUUUCAUUUCUUGUGAAUAAUGUUUAUCCUGUGUUCUGUCCAAUCGCGUAUUAAAAAAUGUGUGAAGUUUGGAUUAACCACACUCUUUUAGAAUUUCCUUUAUUUACCACUUUUUGAGAAUUUCCAAUAAGACUGGGUGAGUCUCCGCUGAGAAUUUCCUCAACUAACACCACACUACUUGAGGGAUAAUUUGUUAUAUCUUUGAAUAAAGAAUAAAACAGUUUCCUACUUUUGAAGGUACUAUUAACUUACACUAUAUUUGGAUGAAGGUCAAACUUUAUAAAUUGACAUACACCAAAUUCUUUGUUUGGAUUCAUAAACAUAUAAAUUUAGAAUUUCCGCGUGGAAAAAAAAAAUACUUAGAAUUUGAGACCUCCAAUUCUCAAAUUGAAAGUUUAAAAAUAAUAAAUUCCGUAUUCAAUUCAAUUGUUCUUUUAGGUUAACCAAAUAAGAAAAUUCACAAAUUCUAAAAUAUAAAAUCUCAUCAUUUCAAUUUCCGUCAUUUUAAAAUUCCUUAGUAAUAUUAAAUUUCUUCAUCCAAACAUAGUGUUAAGAAAUUUUUUAAAGAUACACUAUUUACACUCAUUUUUAUUUCUUACACAUUUAUUAACUUUGUCCAUUGAUUUCUUCAAUUCAUUUUGCCAGUUAUACAAAAAUUGAGAACAGUAUUUAUGAAUUAAAAAUACAUUUGUAGAUGUCACUACCAAAUUUUUAUUCCUAAUUCAAGAAAAUCUUAUCCAUAUAUGAUUGCCCUUGCCCACUUUAAAUGGGUGCCAUCACUUUACGAUAGAGCAAUCCUAACCGUCCACCUAGGUAAGCAUAACUGGCGAUGCAUGUCGCAAGGGGACCGCAUUGCACAAUAUAAUUAUACUAGUUGAUAAGACAAGUGAUGUCAAUCAAUAAAUUAUUUCAUUAAAACUUAGUUGUAUGUAUCAUAUGUUGUAAUGUAGGGUGUAUGAUAUGCUGACGCUGUAAAAAAAUGUAACCUUUUUAAUAUUACUCAUAAUAGUAAGACUUACCAGUAUUAGGAUGUUAUCAGUGGAAUGAGAAUCCUCUCCAGAUCUUUUUUGUGAGCUAUUAUUUGUAUUUAAUUUUAAAUAUAAAAAAUUAAAAUAAUUUAUGACGGCAGUGAUUCACAUGAUCUUCACAAAGAGAAUCCAAAUAAUCUUAAUUUAUAUCAGUGUGUCUAGAUAACAUGAUCGAGCCCCUUUACUUUUACCCUAUUUAGUAUUUUACAUUUGAACCUGUAAAUAUUCGAUUUUUCUUUGGUGCAACCGAGCACCAAAUAUAGAUUUUUUUUCACUUUUAUAUAAUGAUAAAUAAAGGGCAAUUGGCAGAUUUGAAUUCCAUUCGGAUUGGUCAAAAAUCAUUUUAAAUUGUUUUAUUUAAAAUUAAACACAUAUAGUACUUAAUAAAAAUUAGUCGUACAAUAUACGAUAAACAGAUAUAAUGUAAGGACCUUUAUGAUCUUCACAAAAAAGAUCCAAAGGUUGUGUAGCUGUUUCAAAAGGAUAAUACUCACUUUUGAUUAGUUCAAUGAAAUUUUAAACAUGUUUUAUUGUUUUAAAAAAUAAUAAACAUAUUUAUUAAUGUUUGUUUUACUUUAAAAAAUAAGCAGCACUUGACAACAUUUGAUUGUGCUAAAUAAAAAAUGAGUGACCACUUAGUACUACAGUCUUAUGAUAUUUUUCUUCAUUUGAAAGUGAGAGGUUUUAAGUUCGAAUCUCGUGGAUGACGAAUUUGAUAUCAAAUUAGAUUGCUCACUAUGUGGCUUAGCCGAACUCUCAUUUCCUUUAAUGUAAAAAUAUUGAUGUAUUCAAAAAAAUAAAAAGUGACUAUAGAGGACACUCAAUCUCAGCUGUAUGAUUAAAUCAGACGGUAAGAAAAAUUCUGCAAGCAUACUCGGUUACAUUAAUUGAAGAAAAAAUGGGUAAAUAUUGGGCACCAACGUUAUAAAUACCCUCCACCAUGCACCCAACUCCCUCACACCAUCACAACCCACGUUACAAAUCCUCCUCCUCAUCAUAACCAUUCUGUUUUCCGCAUAAUAUCCAAAAACCUAUCAUGUCUGAAGAGAAACACCACCGCGGUCUCUUCCACCACCACAAGGAUGAAGACAAACCCUCAGACUACCCUCAGUCUGGCUACUCUGAUGAAGGACGUCCCGGCGGCCUCGGUGGUGGUUACGGCGACACCAAUGAUUAUUCUGGUGAAGGACGUACCGGCGGCCUAGGUGGUGGCUAUGGCGACACCAAUGCUUAUUCUGGUGAAGGACGUCCCGGCGGCUAUGGCGGCUAUAACGAGACCACUGCUUACUCUGAGGAAAGAGUUGAAAGACCCGGCGGUGGCCGGUACAGUGAGACUACUGCGGCAUAUGGCAGCACCACCACUCAUGAAUCUGAACUUGAUUACAAGAAGGAGGAGAAGCACCACAAGCAUCUCGAGCACCUCGGCGAGGCCGGUGUAGCUGCUGCCGGCGCUUUUGCCUUGGUACGUAUUGUAUUUUAACCCACCUCUAUAUAUAUAUAUAUUAGAAUAAUGCUAAUAAGACCAAAUUUUGAAAACUAAAUGAUGUGGUUGUUGAUAAUGAACUUAUUACUCAAGUCUUGAUUAACAUGCUUAUUUUCUAAUAGUGACACAUUAUUUGGUUUAGAAAUUUGGUCUUCCUAACUUUAUCAUUCUCAAAAUUUUCAUGAUUUUGAUAGGGUAAUACGGGAGAUCAAAAUUUCUAAACCAAAUUUGCAAACCAAUAGAUGAUUGGAUUAUUAAUUAAGUAUCGAUUGUUUGUUUCUUAUUAACGACAUAUCAUUUGAUUUACAAUUUAGUUAAAAAAAAUUUAUUCUUUCUGUCAUAUCCUUUUGAAUAUUUGAUCACUUUACUCUUUAUCACUUUACCCUUGAUCACUUUACCCAUACUCUUGCAACCGAAUCACCGUCCUCCUCCUUAACCUUCAUUUUUUUGUCUUACAGUACUCCAAUCUAUCAACUCUGUCCAUUGCAACUUUAAUUGUGAAGAAAAUUAAAGUCCUAUCGUAAAAUUAAUUAGUGAUAUGGAGAGUUGCGCAAUUAUUGAUGGACUAGGUAGGUAAGAUACGGAAUCAAAGUCUACCAUUAACAAUGGACGGAAUUGAUGAACCAUAUAGGUAUGUAAGAUACGGAAUCAAAGUCCUCAUGUAAAUGGUACAGUUGCAAUCAGGAGAAGAAAUGAGUUAACUGAUACCUUCGUAAUAGUUCAUGUAGAGUUUUGAUAUUAUUAAGCCUUAACCACCUGAUCUUAUAUAUACGAGGACAAAUCUAAUCAAAUAUGUGUUAAUUUCAAGGUUUGUUUUACAUUGAUGUGAGAUCGAUGCUAGCAAGAUAUAUAACUUAUGUCAGUUUCUAUAUGAUGUGUGUAGCAUGAGAAGCACAAUGAAAAGAAAGACCCAGAGCAUGCCCACAGGCACAAGAUAGAAGAGGAGAUUGCUGCAGCAGCUGCAGUUGGUUCGGGUGGAUUUGCCUUCCAUGAGCAUCAUGAGAAGAAAGAGACAAAGGAAGAAGAGGAAGAGGCUUAU
rnacentral:lncRNA from 1 species